ACACCGAUGCCCAGGCCACAUGGGCUUAUAUGACACGAACAUUUUGCAUAUAACAGAUCCAGAGUAAAUCCUAAACCUUUUAAAAUGCUACAGACACAUAUCUGAUACAUAUGCCCUUUUUUGCAACAUAUACAAAAUCAUUACAUAAAUAAUAACACCUCAUUAGAGACUAAACAAACAAUCCAUCUUGCCUUCUUUUCCAGGCUUUUGAGACAGCCAUUUUAAAAACGUCAAACUUAAAUAGCCAUUCCAAUUUUUCAUCACCCCCCC